UAAAUCUUAGAGCAGAUAGGGAGGG
rnacentral:piRNA from 1 species